GGAAAGAUGGCAGAGUGGUCUAUUGCGUCGGUCUUGAAAACCGAAGUACUGAAAGGUACCGGGGGUUCGAAUCCCUCUCUUUCCG
rnacentral:tRNA from 1 species